AAGUCGUAACAAGGUUUCCGUAGGUGAACCUGCGGAAGGAUCAUUACAAAUCCAAUUGAAAUUACCCGUUGCAAUGUUGGACGUGAGAGGAAAGGGAUGAUGUGUAUUCAUUCCUUUUCUCUCCUCCAGAUUCUAUAUGACGCUUGUUGUUCAGUUGUAUUAAAAUUUAAUAUCAAUCACAACUUAUAACAAUGGAUCUCUAGGCUCUU
rnacentral:misc_RNA from 1 species